UGAGGAAUAUUGCCCAAUGGAGGGAACUCUGAGGCAGCGACGCCGCGUGGGUGAAGAAGGCCUUCGGGUCGUAAAGCCCUUUUCUGCGUGACGAGACAGGACGGUAGCGCAGGAAAAAGUCUCGGCUAACUACGUGCCAGCAGCCGCGGUAAAACGUAGGAGGCAAGCGUUAUCCGGAGUUACUGGGCGUAAAGCGUGCGUAGGCGGAGUGGUAAGUGGGUUGUGAAAGCGCCCGGCUAAACCGGGCGAGGACAAUUCAGACUGCCAAUCUCGAGGCGGAUAGAGGGGUGCGGAAUUCCGGGUGUAGCGGUGAAAUGUGUAGAGAUCCGGAGGAACACCAGUGGUGCAAACGGCGCCCUGGGUCCGAACUGACGCUGAAGCACGAAAGCGUGGGGAGCGAACG
rnacentral:rRNA from 1 species